GUGAGGAAUAUUGCGCAAUGGAGGCAACUCUGACGCAGCCAUGCCGCGUGCAGGAAGAAGGCGCUACGCGUUGUAAACUGCUUUUAACCGGGAAGAAACCCCAGGACGUGUCCUGGGUUGACGGUACCGGAGGAAUAAGCACCGGCUAACUUCGUGCCAGCAGCCGCGGUAAUACGAAGGGUGCAAGCGUUAUCCGGAUUCAUUGGGUUUAAAGGGUGCGUAGGCGGAGCGUUAAGUCAGUGGUGAAAUCCUGCAGCUUAACUGUAGACUUGCCAUUGAUACUGGCGCUCUUGAGUGCGCUUGAAGUGGGCGGAAUGUGCCGUGUAGCGGUGAAAUGCUUAGAUAUGGCACAGAACACCAAUUGCGAAGGCAGCUCACUAAGGCGAUACUGACGCUGAGGCACGAAAGCGUGGGGAUCGAACAGGAUUAGAAACCCGUGUGUCC
rnacentral:rRNA from 1 species